rnacentral:lncRNA from 1 species
ACCUCUCGAAAACAACAACGAUGAUAAGAACUUUAUCGAACUGUAACUGUAACACUAAUACACUGAAACUGGCAAGAAGCUAUAAAAGACUUAAGUAGCCGUGGGCCAUAUGGCGUUACUCUGAGGCUUUUCGCUUUGUUCUUUUGAUAGGUUCAACAUGUUUGUUUUCUUUGUUUGUUUUUUCUCCUUAUAGUUCAUCUUCGAUCUACUUAUUUGCCAUUUAGUUGCCAGGGAGCGUUUUUUGAAUUAGAAUGUCAAUAAUGUGAGUGUCAGGCAAGGAAAAAGAGCUAGUCCCCACAGUGAAAACUAAACAUAGGGAAUCAUUUGAAAAUUUUCUAGAAACAAUAACGCCACAGGUAUACGCCUAGGAAAAACUUUUUAAAAUAGUUAACUUGCAUGUUGUACAAAUUCAUUGUCGCUUUACAAGCAACCUUUGAUCCUAGUCCUCGGCUGCAUGACCUAAAACGUCUUGUACUUGAGCUUUUCCACUUUCUGUUCUAAUUCUUUAUGGAGAACUGAUACCAUCGUCGUUAACUCCCUCUCAAAUAAGCCCCCGCCUAACCUUAAAUGGGCUUGAAAUAAAUAAGCCGCCUGGGGGGUUAAUAGCAACAACAACAACAACAACUUUAAUCAGUAUUACCAUUUUGUACAGGUGUUACCAAUUAAAAUAACAAUAAACAGCUAAAUUUAAGAAAAUGAAGAUAUAAUGAAAUGGUAGAAUGAACGAUGUUUAUUUCGUCUUUCAAAUGCGCGAAAGAUGAAAUUAGUAGCUAGCCUGCUGGUAUGUGAAUCGGUAUUGUUAAAAAGAAAACAGACUUUAUCCUCGAUACUGUAAUUUGUUCUAGAGGAUUGACGGUACCUUCUUUCUCCAGAUACUGUGAUACGGCAUGCAAAUGAAGAAAUCUACACAUUAACUUUCAGCUAAUUUGAUUGAGCCACCCUCGGUCGAGGGAAAUUUGACCUCGGAGCAACGGCGUGGCCGUGAGCUGCUGUACGGAACGCCGGUUGUUUUUCUGUGUUGCCUUUACUUCGUAUUAUGAAGAGGUUGACAGAGUCAAACAAUAACACCCAAAAAAAAUCGCCGAUUUCAAGCCAAAAAACACAGGAAUACAUCAAAAUUUGGCUAGUAAAAUAACUGCAAUUGUUGUAACAUUUCACUUAUCACCAGCUACUUGGCUAGGAAGUUAAAAAUAUUCCAGCUGCAGUUACUUCAAACCACUUGAAGGACCUAUUCAUUGGAUUAUUAAAAAGGAAUCCUCGUGACAGGCUGGAUUUUGCGGAUUUCUUUGCCCAUCCCUUCUUGACUGGCAGAGUUCCCCAUCGUGCAUGUAAGCGAGAUCAAAACUACUGUUGCUGCUAAUGUUCUAGAAGGGCAGGCAAGCAGUUAACAAGAACAAAGAAAGAAAAUGAAUGAGAUAUUUGCUCCAGAAAGAAAUCCAUUACUAUGAUCCUGUCUAUUAAAGGCUCAAUUAUUUUGGCUCUGAUCUUUCUGGAAAUUCUGAUUACUUUAACAUUUAAAAGCAACCCAGCUACUUAAGA